UUAACUAUUGUAUAGUACUCAGACAACACAAAAAUCAAGAGUUUGGGGUCCUCUGGCAGGCGCGGACCAGCCUAAGCCGGUGGUCAACAGACGGGCCUGCCAAAGCAACAUAGGUAAUGUAAACAAAGGGUGGGAGAUCUACCCCAAAGGGCAAUUUCUCUGUAAUGAUCCUUCCGCAGGUUCACCUACGGAAA
rnacentral:misc_RNA from 1 species